rnacentral:rRNA from 1 species
AAGAUUUUAAUUGAAUGCUAAAAGAAUGGAAAUUUAAAAAAAAACUUUUUUAAAAAUAAAAAUUGAAUUUUUUUUAAUUUGUGCAAAAACAAUUAUUAUUAUUAAAGACAAGAAGACCCUAAGAAUUUAUGAUUUUGCAAUUAGAAUUUUUUUUCAAAAAAUCUUGAUUGGGGCGAUCAAAAAAUAUUAAUAACUUUUUAAAUUUAAAUUGAUCUAUUAUUAAUAAACUAAUGAAUUAAAUACUCUAGGGAUAACAGCGUAAUAAUUUUUGAUAGAUCUUAUUGACAAAAUAGUUUGCGACCUCGAUGUUGGAUUAGGAUCCUUUUUUAAUGAAAAAGUUAAAAAAAGAAGUUUGUUCAACUUUUAAAUUCCUACUU